rnacentral:rRNA from 1 species
GACGAACGCUGGCGGCGUGCUUAACACAUGCAAGUCGAACGGGCUCUGUCUGUCUGUGUGCUGGGUGGGGUUUGUGGCGAACGGGUGAGUAAUACGUGAGUAACCUGCCCUCUUCUUUGGGAUAAGCCUUGGAAACGGGGUUUAAUACUGGAUAUUCCUGUCUGGUCGCAUGGCUGGGUGGGGAAAGUUUUUUUCGGUGGGGGAUGGGCUCGCGGCCCAUCGGCUUGUUGGUGGGGUGAUGGCCUGCCAAGGCGGCGACGGGGAGCCGGCCUGAGGGGGGGUCCGGGGACACUGGGACUGAGAAGCGGCCCAGGGACCGACGCGAGGCAGAGGUGGGGGAGAGAGGACGAUGGGCGGAAGCCUGAUGCAGCGACGCAGCGUGGGUGAUGACGGCUUGCGGGUUGUAAGCCUCUUUCGGCGGGGGACAAGGCUCUGCUUGGUGGUGGGGUUGAGGGUACCCGGUGAAGAAGCGCCGGCUAACUACGUG